rnacentral:tRNA from 1 species
GGCCGUGUAGCUCAGCAGAGAAGAGCGCCACCCUGUCACGGUGGAGGUCGCGGGUUCGAGUCCCGUCAUGGUCGC